rnacentral:rRNA from 1 species
UACGUAGGUGGCAAGCGUUGUCCGGAUUUAUUGGGUUUAAAGGGUGCGUAGGCGGCUUUGUAAGUCAGUGGUGAAAUAUGGCAGCUUAACUGUCAAGGUGCCAUUGAUACUGCGAGGCUUGAGUACAGAUGAGGUAGGCGGAAUUGACGGUGUAGCGGUGAAAUGCUUAGAUAUCGUCAAGAACACCUAUAGCGAAGGCAGCUUACUAGGCUGUAACUGACGCUGAGGCACGAAAGUGUGGGGAUCAAACAGG